UAAUUAAUUAAUUGGCAGAAAAAUGCAUUAGAAUUAGAAUCUAAUAAAACUUUA
rnacentral:tRNA from 1 species